UAUAUUUGUGUUAGGGAGACGGCGCCGCAGAACAGUGUUGUUAUCAUCGACAUGAGUAUGCCUAUGCAGCCUUUGCGGAGGCCUAUCACUGCAGAUUCGGCUUUGAUGAACCCCAAUUCCAGAAUUCUUGCUCUCAAAGGUAGGGAUUCUUACUUGCAUUCAUAGUUUUUGAGUACUGAAGGUAUGCCCUUAAUGUUUAUAUCAGUCCAUCGUAGAGAAAUCCUUGUCAAUUCUCAUCAUUUGCGGUUCCUUUUUUGGUCCCAUGUGAUGAGCUUCAAAUCAUGUUUCUGAAGUGGCAUAUAUUGGCAUUUCACCUUGUUUUGUUUCUGGAUUUGACAUAUGGAACGUUAUCAUCACUCUGUUUAGCAUUUGUUCUGGAAUCUUAUCAGAAAUGCAUGCGUCGACCCUUACCUCUUAAACGUGAUCAAAGUCCACUUGGGAAGCUGUUUACUUGCCUCAUGUCUACAGUUUGCUAUUUGUGUUUUUCUGUUUGGUGUAUGUUUUGGCUAGGUAUGAGGUGUAAAUUUGUAAUUUUAUCUGUUGUUUUUUAUGGCUUCAUGGUCACUUCCUGAUUUGUAUUGUUGCAAGUUUGGUGUUUGGUUGUGACAUUGAAUUCAGGCAACAAGUUUGAUGUGGUUCCAUGUCUGCUGUAACUGUGAUUAGUGGUUUUACUAUUCACUAUCAACAAAGCUUGGGUAAAUGGUGUCCGAGAUUUACCUCAUAAAGGGACAUGCUACAGAGAAAACUUUUUCUGGAAAAUUUGGUGAAGAACCGGGAGGUUGGUGCUCUCGAGAAGGGAGAGAAGCCCAUGGAGUUGGAUUGUGGAAGUCAAUUAGAAAAGUAUGGGGAACUUUUAAAGCAAAAACAGGAUUUGAGGUGGGCAAUGGAAGAAGAAUCAAAUUUUGGCAUGAUGUGUGGUGCGAUGAUAUGCUCUUGAAGGAUACUUUUCCUUCUUUAUUCACUUUUGCUAUUGCUAAGGAGGCAUGGGUGGAUGAUGUUCAGGAGGUAGAAUGAGGAAUGGUCACUUGGAGCCCUUGCUUUUCAAGAAACUUUCAUGAUUGGGAAUGGGAUGUUGUAAAUAAAUUUUUUUUUUCUAAAACUUAGUGAGUUUGGUAGAUUUAGAGAAGAGGAGGAUAAAAUGGUUUGGAAAGCUAGCAAGAAUGAGGUGUUCUUCAUAAGGUCUUUCUACAAUGCAUUGGAAGAUGGGGGUGAAGUGACUUUCCCUUCAAAGAUAAUUUGGGAUUUUUGGGCUCCCACUAAAGUGGGUUUUUUUGCUUGGGAAGCGACUUGGGGCCAGAUCCUGGCUAUGGAGCAGCUCAAGAGGAGAGGAUGGGUUUUGACAGGUUUUUGUUGUAUGUAUAAAGAUGUGGAUGAAUCGGUGGAUUAUCUUCUGAUCCAUUGUGGGGUAGCUAGAGAGUUAUGACUCUCUUCUCCAUUGGCAUUUCGUGGGUUCUUUCUUUUCUAUUAAGGAUUUGUUGGAGGGAUGACAUGGUAGCUUUAUGGGUAGGAAAAGGGGGAAGGUUUGGAGAACAACCCCUCUUUGCCUUUUAUGGAUAAUUUGGAAGGAGUGAAAUCAAAGAACUUUUGAAGGAGAACAACGCACUAUCCAAUCCCUCAAGGAUUCCCUCAUAACUAAUAUGUAUACGUGGUCUCAAGGGUUCCUUUUAGGAGACGGGUAGGAAGGCCCAACCUCUUUAUUAUAUUUUAUAGACUGAGUGAGCUCUUCUUCUUAAAGUGGUUUUGUAAUUACUAUAGCUGAUUUUUUUGUUUCUCAUUUGUAUACAUCCGAUAUAUUGUAUUUGCCACUUUAGCUUGGCAUCCUUUUUAUAGUCAUAUAUAUACAUACUCUUAUGUGCUUAUAAGAAAAAAUAAGAAAACUGUGAUUAGUGGUUUUAAAGCAGAGUUGGUGUAUAAUGUUAUAAUUUAGUAAUUGCAUCAAUUUGUUGCAUUAUGAGGGUUUUAAUGCUUAUGCAUACUACCUGGCUGAUGAAUUUUGAAAUUCAAUUUGAAGCUCAACUCCCUGGAACUACUCAGGAUCAUUUACAAAUAUUCAACAUUGAAAUGAAAGCAAAGAUGAAAUCACAUCAGAUGCCUGAGCAGGUGAUGACCUGCCCUCCUUAAAUGCUUUCAAUAGAUUGAAUGUACUUUUCUAUUAUUAUUAUUUUUUAAUCUUGACUAAGUUCUGCUCACUCCUGUUCCUUGCUGUUUGGAUAGGUUGUCUUUUGGAAGUGGAUUACCCCUAAGAUGCUGGGCCUGGUUACACAAACAUCAGUAUUUCAUUGGUCCAUUGAAGGCAGGGAACCUCUAUAACUCCCUGAAUCAACAUUUUGCUUUCUUUAUUUUACAUAUGGAAUUUUAUUGCUUUAUUUGUUAGUCAAUAUUUCAAGAAUAAGCUUUUGUAGUAUUUUUAUUUUUAAUUUGUUUGGCAUUUAAUGUUCUCAUUGCAUCUUAUGUGUAGGUGAUUCUGAGCCUGUGAAGAUGUUUGAGCGAACUGCAAAUCUGGUAAAUAAUCAAAUAAUCAACUAUCGUUGCGAUCCUUCUGAAAAGUGGUUGGUUUUGAUUGGGAUUGCACCUGGUUCAC
rnacentral:lncRNA from 1 species